UACGGAGGGGGCUAGCGUUGUUCGGAAUUACUGGGCGUAAAGCGCACGUAGGCGGCUUUGUAAGUUAGAGGUGAAAGCCCGGAGCUCAACUCCGGAAUUGCCUUUAAGACUGCAUCGCUAGAAUUGUGGAGAGGUGAGUGGAAUUCCGAGUGUAGAGGUGAAAUUCGUAGAUAUUCGCAAGAACACCAGUGGCGAAGGCGGCUCACUGGCCCGAUACUGACGCUGAGGCACGAAAGCGUGGGGAGCAAACAGG
rnacentral:rRNA from 1 species